AGACUCUCAGUAACAUCCUAAAUUAUUACUAUACUAAAAGCACAUAUUAUGAGAGUUAUUUAGUUAAAUUAUUAUUUUUUUAAAAAUACUUUUAUGUGUCAUUAAAUUUUGAGCUGUGCAAAAUUAUGGAAAUUUUGGUAUAUUAGCCUAUAUUUGUUAUGAGUUGUUUAGUAUUUGCGUUAAAUAUGUGAGUUAAACAAUAAAAACUUCCAUUAAAUGAAAAUUAAUUGAACUUGUUAAAAUUAAGAUGAACUGAUUAUGUGAAGAACAACAUUGAAGAUGAAUCAUUCACCAAUCAGAUUCCGAAAUUCUAAAGAUGUAGUUAUUGAGUAACAACCUUUCACUAAAAGUAUUUUCAACGAGAAUGUGAUGUAGAAGAUGGUUUGAAAGUUAGGUUAAAAUUAAUUGGAAGAUUAGUUGGGAGAAAGUGAACAAAUGUAUAAUAUAUAUACACAUAUGCUUCCAUGCUAAGUUAAUUUCAUGAGCUGUGUCCUAUAAAUUUCCAAGGAACUCAAACUUCGUAUAUAUCUUUUUCCUUCUUUUUCUUUUUUCAGGAACUCACAUAUUCUCAAAAGACAAAAAUCGUUGCUUAAAAUGGGACCAGGCGGCCCAGGCCCAGGCGGCCCAGGCCCAGGCGGCCCGCCAGGUUGGGGUUCACCCGGCCCACCGGGGCCGGGUUUUUUCGGUGGGUUUUGCGAUCUCGUUAACUCUUGUUUGAGCUUUUUGUGCUGCUGCUGGUUACUACAGGACUGCUUUGGGGGUCCAUCUGGCCCACCUGGAGGCCCAUUCCGCCCACAUGGGCCUCCAUGAGUUUCUAAGUUGCCAUGGUUUCCAAUGUAUGUAUAUGACGUUCUAUAUGUUAUGUAAUUAAUUAUCAAUCAGAACUCUGCUAAUCUCUGUUUGAUGUAAUAAUACAUUCCUGGCACGGUCGAAGGUUGAAGAAUAAUUUAUUGUAA